rnacentral:tRNA from 1 species
GCCCGAGUGGUGGAAUGGUAGACGCGGCGGACUCAAAAUCCGUUGGUAGCAAUACCAUGUCGGUUCAAGUCCGACCUCGGGCACCA